rnacentral:lncRNA from 1 species
UCCCAGUAUGGGAAGGUAAAAAAAGGAUGUUGCGACAACAGCCACCAUGUAAAGCAGCUGUAACUGGACGUAACAUACACAUGAACACAGAUGCAGCUGCUGUAAUGAUGCUGUGGUUGUCAGAUGAAAUAGGACUAUGGGUAAAAAAAGGAUGUUGCGACAACAGCCACCAUGUAAAGCAGCUGUAACUGGACAUAACAUACACAUGAACACAGAUGCAGCUGCUGUAAUGAUGCUGUGGUUGUCAGAUGAAAUAGGACUAUGGCUGUUGGGCUGCGAGGACACGACCGAGACGUGAAAGUGGACUCUCAAAACGUCCAAUAGCAGUGUGUGUGUGUGUGUGUGUGUGUGUGUGUGUGUGUGUGUGUGUGUGUGUGUGUGUGUGUGUGUGUGUGUGCGUGUGUGUGCGUGUGUGUGUGCGCUUUAUGUGUGAAAUUUAAUUAUAUUUAAUGCUAUCAGUUUAAACACACUUUGAGGCUACUCUCUUACAAAACCGAUGUCGUUUUGAUGACUGUUACACUACACUUAAAUGCUGUUUUUAAUAUGGAAAUUGUUGGCAAAUAUUUGUGUGAAAAACAUAGGUCCAUGUUAGAGUCUGUUACUUCAUAAAUGUUUAUUAACUUGAAGAUCAGUUUAUAAUACUGACUGUGCAAUGAUGUCAGAGUAUAAAAUCGGUGCUGUAAAAGUAUUUUUG